rnacentral:rRNA from 1 species
GUGAGGAAUAUUGGUCAAUGGGCGGAAGCCUGAACCAGCCAUGCCGCGUGCAGGACGACGGCCCUACGGGUUGUAAACUGCUUUUCCGGGGGAAGAAUAACCCCCCUGCGGGGGGGGAUGCCGGUACCCCGGGAAUAAGGAUCGGCUAACUCCGUGCCAGCAGCCGCGGUAAUACGGAGGAUCCUAGCGUUAUCCGGAUUUACUGGGUUUAAAGGGUGCGUAGGCGGGCGCUUAAGUCCGCGGUGAAAGUCUGCGGCUCAACCGUAGGAGUGCCGUGGAUACUGGGGGUCUUGGAGUCGGUCGGGGCGGGCGGAAUGCGUGGUGUAGCGGUGAAAUGCAUAGAUAUCACGCAGAACGCCGAUAGCGAAGGCAGCUCGCCGGGCCGACAUCGACGCUGAGGCACGAAAGCGUGGGGAUCAAACA